rnacentral:misc_RNA from 1 species
UUUAAUUUUAAAUUAAUUUUUAACAUUUUUCAGCUAGUAUAUUUGAAAAAGUGAUUUUUCUUCCGUCAGUUGUUUUAACAACAAUACCAAACAGGCCCUUACUCUGGUCAUCUACAUUGAUUAUUUAUGGAAUGCCUAUUGCAACAUGUUUCAAACAUAAAUUAGGUUUUAAACAAUGUUUUUUCAGUGUUCAUGUCCUGCAAUGAAUUUUUAGUACAAUCAUGGAGAGAAAUGAUUCUGCCUGCACUGUCUAUAGAUGCAUUUUAUUGUAGCUGUAAAAAUUGGAUGCUUCUGUCUGUCUCUAGAUGCAUUUAUAACUUUUCAUUGCAACUCUUUGCGGAUGCACUUAUAACUUGGCAAACAUGGACUUUUAUACAGUUAACAGAGUCACUGAUCUUUCAGACUUGACAUUUGAAGCUAAAUCGGCAAGAGAUCAUGCUUGGUGAGAAUGCAUCUACUAAUAAAGAAAUAUUAAACUUUUAGCAUGAAGUACAAAGUGGCAUACAUUUAAAAGCUAUACAAUAUUUGAGAUCCCUUCACAUUUUUUUCUCAAAGGUUGGAUUGAUAUAUUUCCUACCAUGCACAAGAUGGAAUGCAGGGAAUAUGACAUCCUGUCAUUUGUCUGAUUUAUUUAACUUUAUAAUGGCUUUCAAUGUUUCCAUCUAAUCUUUCAUAGGGGCUGAGAUUGGACAAAAUUAUAGUCAGUUCAUAUUUAUUACUGAUUUACUGUAGCAAUUUACCAAUUAUGCUUCAUCUAUAAGGUGGCUGUUUGGCUGAAAGAAGAAAUUUGUUUUGGCUACAGCCUAGACCAAAAAUUUUAAAUUUCACAGCCAUGUCAUAUUUCUAUAUUAAACUGGCAUUUUUAACUAAAUUUUCUAUCUCCAGGUAUGAUGUUGCUGCUUUCCUCAGCUACAGAGUUCUUUGUACUGGUGAACUAGUAAGAGUAUUCUAUAGUUCUGACAUAUGUCUUCAGAAGUCAUUACCAGCUCUUUUAAAUACUAUGGGUGCAUUUGUUUUAAGAGAUUCUACUCGCAAGGAUGCUGUGCAUGGCUGCUUGAUAUUUCUUUCCCUGUAGAAAUUAUUUUGCAUUCAACCUGAUGAAGGUUUUGAAUCUUUUUCUGCAACAUAGGAAGCACGUAUACGAUUUGCUGGAUUCCGUAAUACAGAUGAUGAGUGGGUGAAUGUAAAAAGGGCAGUGCGUGAACGAUCUAUUCCUUUAGAACCUUCAGAAUGCAGCAGGGUGAAAGUUGGAGAUCUUGUACUGUGCUUUAGGGUACCUUUCUAUUUCUCACUUCCAAAAGCUACAAUGUCUUUGACAUGUUGACCUGAAUUGGAAAUGCAAUAUUACAGUUGACAUUUACAGAAUCCACAGGCAUAAGCUAUAGUGAUACAUGAGUUCAGUCGCCAUUUUCACUCAUGAAUGAUAAGUGCUUGAUUUCUUCCUUUAAGUAAACAAAGGAUUGAAAUGUUAUGGGACAGAGGCCUAGGAACACAUACAUACAUCCAUAUUUACUCAUUGAAGUACUUCUACCGUUGUGUUACCGUGUUGAGCCAGGCUGUGCUCUUAUUACUUUCAUCCUUUCAGCAUUUUCUAGUUUUCUUUUGAUUUUUUAUCAGUCUUAGCUUUGGCCUUCAUGUCUGGUUUACAGGAACGCCAAGAACUAGCAGUCUACUGUGAUGCCUAUGUGGUGGGAAUCCAAAGGGAACCACAUGACGCGAGGGACUGUGGGUGCGUAUUUGUGGUCAGAUAUGACUAUGAUUUCAUGGAGGUAAAGUUACUACAUGCCUGUGUCUGUCUGUGAGCCACUGCUAGCUAUGCCUGAUGUUUAUCACUUUCCUCAUUAGCCCCGGCUAUUUUCAAGUUAUAAGCAUUAUCUUGUCUGAAAACCAAAACUGAAAUGUUGCUGUACUACAAUAUUAUGUGCAAUAACAGGAAAGUGUUCAGUGGCAGAGGUUAUGUCGCAGACCAACUCAAUAAAUUUCUAGGGCAGCUGGUGAAAAUCAAGAAGCCAUACUCAAGAUGAGAACGAGAAUAGAAAAUUCUUUGAUUUUGAAGUUCGUUGACUUGAAAUGUUCAUAAACUGAGAAUAUUGAUGUUCCUAUGCAUGCUCUUGGCCCCUGACCAUGAAAUUACAUUUAAUUUCCAACUAUCAGAAACAUCAAAGUGAAGAAUAAAUGGCAGCCUCCUCCAUUGUGUGGUUAGCUAUUUAGUGCAGCUGUUGUGGUAAAUUGUUGACGGUCAAUAAUUGAGAAUCUUAGCUUUAAGAAACAUGAUUAGAUAUUUUAUCUGCGC